rnacentral:ncRNA from 1 species
CUAAUUUUUAACACAAGGUCUUGGUCUUAAACCUCCAAUUGUCUAAACUCCAUGCUUAUACAUGCAAGCCUCAACACAACAGUGAAACAGCCCACCACAACCACCCUUUUUAGAGCCGGUAUCAGGCCAACCCCCACAACACCAAGCAAUCAGCCACGCCCCCACGGGCCCACAGCAGUAGUUAAUAUUGGGCCAUAAGCGAAAGCUUGACCCAGCAACGGAGCCCGAGGGCCGGUUAAUCUCGUGCCAGCGACCGCGGUUACACGACAGACCCAAGACAACACCCCCGGCGUAAAGCACGACUAAAACUCACGUUACCUUACUUAAGGUUAAAGACAAGCUGGGCUGUAAAAAGCCAUAAGCUUGCACCAGACACAUACCCUAGUAUCCAAACAACUUCAACUCGUGAAAGCCAGGAUACAAACUAAGAUUAGAUACCUUACUAUGCCUAGCCAUAACAAGACAGUCAAAUAAACCAACUGUCCGCCAAAUAACUACGAGUAAAAACUUAAAAUUUAAAAGACUUGACGGUACUUCACACCAACCUAGAGGAGCCUGUCCAAUAACCGAUAAUCCACGAUUAACCCAACCCCCUCUAGCCCUCCAGUCUAUAUACCGCCGUCGCCAGCUUACCUUGUGAAAGUAACAAAGUAAGCCCAAUAACUUCACCAUUAACACGACAGGUCGAGGUGUAACUAAUGAGCGGGACCAAGAUGGGCUACAUUUUCUAACCCAGAACAAACGAACAGACUAUGAAACUAGAAACUGAAGGCGGAUUUAGCAGUAAAAUGGGAACACACACACCCAACCGAAAUUAACGCAAUGAAGUGCGCACACACCGCCCGUCAUCCCUGCAGAACACACACCCCAUCCAUAAACAACCACCGUUUCACUAAAGCAGGGCAAGUCGUAACAUGGUAAGUGUACUGGAAAGUGUACUUAG